rnacentral:lncRNA from 1 species
AUGAAAGAUGAACACUGUGAAUUGAUUCAGGACAUCGAGGCACUCAGGAUUGUGCAACUAAAGAUACUCACAGAGAGAACUUCCAGAACUGCUUCAGAAAGUGCUCCUCGAACAGGAAAGAUGCAGUACUUUACAAUUUGCUCAAACUGGCACAGACAGAGAAAAGACAUGACAUCUUCCUUUGGAAUUAAAUUCCCUCAGGAAAAAAACCUGAAGAUUUGGGGAUUUGAUUUUGUGAGUGAAUAA